rnacentral:rRNA from 1 species
GGGUUGUGAGGUUAAGCGACUAAGCGUACACGGUGGAUGCCCUGGCAGUCAGAGGCGAUGAAGGACGUGCUAAUCUGCGAUAAGCGUCGGUAAGGUGAUAUGAACCGUUAUAACCGGCGAUUUCCGAAUGGGGAAACCCAGUGUGUUUCGACACACUAUCAUUAACUGAAUCCAUAGGUUAAUGAGGCGAACCGGGGGAACUGAAACAUCUAAGUACCCCGAGGAAAAGAAAUCAACCGAGAUUCCCCCAGUAGCGGCGAGCGAACGGGGAGCAGCCCAGAGCCUGAAUCAGUGUGUGUGUUAGUGGAAGCGUCUGGAAAGGCGCGCGAUACAGGGUGACAGCCCCGUACACAAAAAUGCACAUAUUGUGAGCUCGAUGAGUAGGGCGGGACACGUGGUAUCCUGUCUGAAUAUGGGGGGACCAUCCUCCAAGGCUAAAUACUCCUGACUGACCGAUAGUGAACCAGUACCGUGAGGGAAAGGCGAAAAGAACCCCGGCGAGGGGAGUGAAAAAGAACCUGAAACCGUGUACGUACAAGCAGUGGGAGCACGCUUCGGCGUGUGACUGCGUACCUUUUGUAUAAUGGGUCAGCGACUUAUAUUCUGUAGCAAGGUUAACCGAAUAGGGGAGCCGAAGGGAAACCGAGUCUUAACUGGGCGUUAAGUUGCAGGGUAUAGACCCGAAACCCGGUGAUCUAGCCAUGGGCAGGUUGAAGGUUGGGUAACACUAACUGGAGGACCGAACCGACUAAUGUUGAAAAAUUAGCGGAUGACUUGUGGCUGGGGGUGAAAGGCCAAUCAAACCGGGAGAUAGCUGGUUCUCCCCGAAAGCUAUUUAGGUAGCGCCUCGUGAAUUCAUCUCCGGGGGUAGAGCACUGUUUCGGCAAGGGGGUCAUCCCGACUUACCAACCCGAUGCAAACUGCGAAUACCGGAGAAUGUUAUCACGGGAGACACACGGCGGGUGCUAACGUCCGUCGUGAAGAGGGAAACAACCCAGACCGCCAGCUAAGGUCCCAAAGUCAUGGUUAAGUGGGAAACGAUGUGGGAAGGCCCAGACAGCCAGGAUGUUGGCUUAGAAGCAGCCAUCAUUUAAAGAAAGCGUAAUAGCUCACUGGUCGAGUCGGCCUGCGCGGAAGAUGUAACGGGGCUAAACCAUGCACCGAAGCUGCGGCAGCGACACUAUGUGUUGUUGGGUAGGGGAGCGUUCUGUAAGCCUGUGAAGGUGUGCUGUGAGGCAUGCUGGAGGUAUCAGAAGUGCGAAUGCUGACAUAAGUAACGAUAAAGCGGGUGAAAAGCCCGCUCGCCGGAAGACCAAGGGUUCCUGUCCAACGUUAAUCGGGGCAGGGUGAGUCGACCCCUAAGGCGAGGCCGAAAGGCGUAGUCGAUGGGAAACAGGUUAAUAUUCCUGUACUUGGUGUUACUGCGAAGGGGGGACGGAGAAGGCUAUGUUGGCCGGGCGACGGUUGUCCCGGUUUAAGCGUGUAGGCUGGUUUUCCAGGCAAAUCCGGAAAAUCAAGGCUGAGGCGUGAUGACGAGGCACUACGGUGCUGAAGCAACAAAUGCCCUGCUUCCAGGAAAAGCCUCUAAGCAUCAGGUAACAUCAAAUCGUACCCCAAACCGACACAGGUGGUCAGGUAGAGAAUACCAAGGCGCUUGAGAGAACUCGGGUGAAGGAACUAGGCAAAAUGGUGCCGUAACUUCGGGAGAAGGCACGCUGAUAUGUAGGUGAAGUCCCUCGCGGAUGGAGCUGAAAUCAGUCGAAGAUACCAGCUGGCUGCAACUGUUUAUUAAAAACACAGCACUGUGCAAACACGAAAGUGGACGUAUACGGUGUGACGCCUGCCCGGUGCCGGAAGGUUAAUUGAUGGGGUCAGCGCAAGCGAAGCUCUUGAUCGAAGCCCCGGUAAACGGCGGCCGUAACUAUAACGGUCCUAAGGUAGCGAAAUUCCUUGUCGGGUAAGUUCCGACCUGCACGAAUGGCGUAAUGAUGGCCAGGCUGUCUCCACCCGAGACUCAGUGAAAUUGAACUCGCUGUGAAGAUGCAGUGUACCCGCGGCAAGACGGAAAGACCCCGUGAACCUUUACUAUAGCUUGACACUGAACAUUGAGCCUUGAUGUGUAGGAUAGGUGGGAGGCUUUGAAGUGUGGACGCCAGUCUGCAUGGAGCCGACCUUGAAAUACCACCCUUUAAUGUUUGAUGUUCUAACGUUGACCCGUAAUCCGGGUUGCGGACAGUGUCUGGUGGGUAGUUUGACUGGGGCGGUCUCCUCCUAAAGAGUAACGGAGGAGCACGAAGGUUGGCUAAUCCUGGUCGGACAUCAGGAGGUUAGUGCAAUGGCAUAAGCCAGCUUGACUGCGAGCGUGACGGCGCGAGCAGGUGCGAAAGCAGGUCAUAGUGAUCCGGUGGUUCUGAAUGGAAGGGCCAUCGCUCAACGGAUAAAAGGUACUCCGGGGAUAACAGGCUGAUACCGCCCAAGAGUUCAUAUCGACGGCGGUGUUUGGCACCUCGAUGUCGGCUCAUCACAUCCUGGGGCUGAAGUAGGUCCCAAGGGUAUGGCUGUUCGCCAUUUAAAGUGGUACGCGAGCUGGGUUUAGAACGUCGUGAGACAGUUCGGUCCCUAUCUGCCGUGGGCGCUGGAGAACUGAGGGGGGCUGCUCCUAGUACGAGAGGACCGGAGUGGACGCAUCACUGGUGUUCGGGUUGUCAUGCCAAUGGCACUGCCCGGUAGCUAAAUGCGGAAGAGAUAAGUGCUGAAAGCAUCUAAGCACGAAACUUGCCCCGAGAUGAGUUCUCCCUGACUCCUUGAGAGUCCUGAAGGAACGUUGAAGACGACGACGUUGAUAGGCCGGGUGUGUAAGCGCAGCGAUGCGUUGAGCUAACCGGUACUAAUGAACCGUGAGGCUUAACCUUACAACGCCGAAG